rnacentral:rRNA from 1 species
GACGAACGCUGGCGGCGUGCUUAACACAUGCAAGUCGAACGAGAUCCAAUGUGUAGCAAUACACAGGAAGAUCUAGUGGCGAACGGGUGAGGAACACGUGAGAAACGUACCCCAGACUUUGGGAUAACAGUCCGAAAGGACUGCUAAUACCAAAUAACGUCGGAAGUCCGCAUGGACAUCUGACGAAAGGGAUUCCGGUUUGGGAGCGUCUCGCGGACCUAUCAGCUAGUUGGAGGGGUAACGGCCCACCAAGGCAACGACGGGUAGCUGGUCUGAGAGGAUGGUCAGCCACACUGGGACUGAGACACGGCCCAGACUCCUACGGGAGGCAGCAGUGGGGAAUCUUGCGCAAUGGGCGAAAGCCUGACGCAGCAACGCCGCGUGCGGGAAGAAGGCUUUCGGGCUGUAAACCGCUUUCAGUAGGAACGAAACUGACGGUACCUACAGAAGAAGAAGCGGCCAACUAUGUG